GGAGGUGAAGAGUGGAAGCAGACAGUGUGUGGCUUGGCCUGCAGCAGCCGCAUUUCGAGUCAGGCACCCCACCGCCGCCGUUUUCUUUCUGGGUUCCCACAUCGAUUCCAUUUUGAUUCAAUUUGGAUGUUCUGGAGUAGUGGAAGGGAACGAGGUUUAAAAGAGGUCAACUCCAUUACUCAGCGUUAUUAAUGAUGUUGUCGGCCGUUAAAAUCCCCAAAAACUAGGAAACCAAUAAAUUUUACAUAUUGAAAAAUCACAGGUGGAUCAGGCAAAUGGAUAAAUUCUUAAAAGUAUUUAAUAGCUGUUAAGAGGACAGAAUGAUAAAUUCAAUAUUGAAAACCAAUAUCAGAUUCACAAUUACAGGCCAUUUAUCAUAACCAACUGCACGGACAGCAUCUUAUUGCGGGGAGCACAGUGUGAUUCAUACGCAGAGACCCGGAACAAGUCCAUAUGAAACGAGAAAUAAAUCUGCUUUACAUAUUGGAAGCUUAUUUCCACUUCCUAUCUUUAUUGCCAACAAUAAUGUUAGCUUUCAAGAACAAAUUGUUACGCGUUAAACCUGUGCAUAAUGAGCCCAAUUGAGUCAAAAACUUCCCUGAAAAGAGCUUUAAAUUAUUCCAAAUUGGGUUAUUAGCCUAACUCUAAUUCCUCUGAGAAAGUCCCACAGUCUGACAGUGAGUUUCAGCACUUAACCAGGCAGUUGGUUUCCCAGGUUUGGCCCCAAAGUACUGGAUUUGUUCUUUCUUUUCCAUCCCUCCACCUCCCCUGAAUAAUUAACAGUCAUGCUAAGAACAAACAUAAUAUUUAACAAAUGUGUUAAUUUAACAAAUUGCAAGAAAAUUGCAACGUAUUUUUUUGAUUUGAAAAUGAAGUUUUGCAACUUUGCAGUAUAAAGAUAAUAAAGUAAGAUGAAUUAUUUUGCUUUCUUUGAAUAUAUGAGCAACUAUGAGUAAGUGAAAUGCUUUGAGUUUGGACCCUUGGGUGUCACUGACAGGGUGCCAGCUUGGUCGAUAUUGUGAUCUCCAGACAUCCUGGGAUCAAGGGCCAGGGAGGUGAUAUUGCUGUUAUGUUUCUCAUCCUGCUGACAAUCCAGGCUGACCCAGCUGACAUGACUGUAAUCAAGACACAGAGUGGAUUUUUUUUAAACUGUAUCUUUUCCUGAUUUCAAGAAUGAGGUGUUCAAGCAUAGAAAAUUUGGAAUGCAUAGGGGAAAAAAAUCACCUCUAACUUUUCCCAGAGGCCACGGCUAAUUACAUUGUGAAAUGUUUCUUUUUCAUUUUUUUUUUACUGUGCGUUUUUUCUUUACAGAUUGAGUUUGUAUAAUUCUAUCCUAUGCAGUCAAAAUUUUAAUGAUUAAAUAAUACCCCAUUUUAUAAGGGACCCUUUCCUAAUGUUGGGUACUUAGGUUGCUUUCAACUUUUCUCUGUUAUAAAUAGCAUUGCAAUAAUCAUCUUUAUACAUGCAUCUUUGGGUGAAUUUCCGAUUAUUUCUGUAAGAUUUGUUCUCAGAAUUGUCAUUACUGGGUUUAAGAGUGUAAACAUUUUAAGGCUUUUGAUAUGUCCUGAGGCUAAAAA
ensembl:lncRNA